AAGGACUGGCAUUGUUUUUGUAGCCUGAUCUGAUCUUUAUUACAAACUUUGUAGACUUUUCUUUAGAGUUUGUUUAUAAAAUUAAGGUUGUCGGUGUCCUUGCUUUUGCUAUAAUUUUACUGAAGUCUUCAAAAUGAACUGGAGAUGCCUGAAUCAUGAUGUAUAUCAUCUAAUUGGUUAGUUAAAGUUGAAAUAAGUGUUUCUCGCCACUUGAAUCUUAUUGUUGCUAUCUCAGAUGUUGAACAGAUAGAAGUAGAUACCUGACACUUCAUGUAAACAGCCCCUUGGCUGGGUUUACUUCCCAGUGCUAAUGGGCAAGUAUUACAUUCUCAAGAUGGUGGAGAUAGUCCAAUUCUCAGUCUCUUUAAAUUAGUCACUGCUGCAAUAUUAUCUAAGCCAGGGAAAUCAAAUCCUUGUUUCCUGCCGAUUGCAGUCCAUUCUAAGCUGGUUUUGGAAAUAGAGAUACAGAUGAAGUUAGCUACCUUAAGGUCGGAGUUCCACUAGGAAAAAAUUACUAUGCCUGAAAAUGAGCAAAGUUAGAACUGAAAGAGCUUCUUCAGAGCUUUGGAAGGUACUUUUUUCCAAUUCAUUCUUAAUAUGAUAUUACCUUCUUUCUUAGCUGCUUUGAGUUUUGCCAUCUCUGAUGCUAAACAUGCUUUAAUUUUCAACUUUAUCCAGAUAUAAGAUUGCUCAAAAGGUUUGUUUUUUGGCAUAUAAAUUGAAAACCUAUUUAUGAGCACUUUCCAUGUUUUUUUUUCAUGAAAGCUGUUAAGUUGUGCUGAAUGAAUGUAACUUUGGGUUUGCAGGUUGUGGGUUUAGCUGUUGUUUGUGUUAUAUGUUUCACCUCUAAUGCUUUUGCAGGCAGCAAGAACAGCUAAUUAUAGUAUUGGGAGUAAGUUGCUGAUACCUAAACUCCUCCUCUCACUUUUUGGAAACUUGACAGAACGAACAGGGUAGAGUGAUUUCUUUGGAGCAAUUCUUGACAACAUUUGUAGUUGAGGCCUUUAGAAUGGAAGAAUGUAUUUCACUAAUUUUUGUAUACAUUUCUUGUUUUGUAUUUAGUGAUAAAGGAAUCUGAAUUGGGCAUAAAUUAUGUUGUAAUAUGAUUUCUUAAGCCUAGACUAGUAGACUAAAUAUUGUAAUUACAUUUGAGUAAUUAAUAAAAAUCUAUUUAUGUUA